UACGUAGGGAGCAAGCGUUGUCCGGAAUCAUUGGGCGUAAAGCGCGCGUAGGUGGCCUCGUAAGUCCGCUGUGAAAGUCAAAGGCUCAACCUUUGAAAGCCGGUGGAUACUGUGGGGCUAGAGUACGGAAGAGGCGAGUGGAAUUCCUGGUGUAGCGGUGGAAUGCGCAGAUAUCAGGAGGAACACCAAUAGCGAAGGCAGCUCGCUGGGACGUUACUGACGCUGAGGAGCGAAAGCGUGGGGAGCGAACAGG
rnacentral:rRNA from 1 species